rnacentral:rRNA from 1 species
UACGUAGGGCGCGAGCGUUGUCCGGAUUUAUUGGGCGUAAAGAGCUCGUAGGCGGCUCAUCGCGUCUGCCGUGAAAACCCGCAGCUCAACUGCGGGCUUGCGGUUGAUACGGGUGGGCUGGAGUUCGGUAGGGGAGACUGGAAUUCCUGGUGUAGCGGUGAAAUGCGCAGAUAUCAGGAGGAACACCGGUGGCGAAGGCGGGUCUCUGGGCCGAUACUGACGCUGAGGAGCGAAAGCGUGGGGAGCGAACAGG